AUGAACAGGUGGAUGGGUGGGUGAAGGGGAGAUUGCACAGGUUUGAAGCAAAUAAACCAAAUGCUCAGACCCCCUCACCCACAGUCCUGCUCAAUAACUGCAUGAAUCAGAAGCUGCCUGGAGCGAUGCAAAAGUCACCCUUCUAAGAGCCUUGUAAGACAGGACUCCUUCCUCCUCACCUUCCACCAUGAAUGUAAGUUUCCUGAGGCCUUCCCAGCCAGGCUUCCCAUAAUGCCUGAGGAACCAUUAGCCAAUGAAACCCCUUUUCUUUACAAAUU